rnacentral:rRNA from 1 species
UACGUAGGGGGCUAGCGUUGUCCGGAAUCAUUGGGCGUAAAGCGCGUGUAGGCGGCCCGGUAAGUCCGCUGUAAAAGUCAAAGGCUCAACCUUUGAAUGUCAGUGGAUACUGCCGGGCUAGAGUCCGGAAGAGGCGAGUGGAACUCCUGGUGUAGCGGUGGAAUGCGCAGAUAUCAGGAAGAACACCGACGGCGAAGGCAGCUCGCUGGGACGGUACUGACGCUGAGACGCGAAAGCGUGGGGAGCGAACAGG